rnacentral:rRNA from 1 species
GGAUUAGGCAUGCAAGUCGAACGAGGAUAUAUCCUUCGGGGUAUAAGCCGAGUGGCGCAAGGGUGAGUAAUGCAUAGAUUACCUGCCUCUAGGAUAAGGACAACUUUGUGAAAACGAAGCUAAUACUUAAUAAUACAAAAGAAAAUAAUUUUCUUUUGUCGAUGGGAGGGUAGCAAUACCUUUUGCCUAGAGAGGGGUUUAUGUCCUAUCAGCUUGUUGGUGGGGUAAUGGCCUACCAAGGCGAAGACGGGUAGCCGGUCUUAGAGGAUGGUCGGCCACACUGGGACUGAGACACUGCCCAGACUUCUACGGAAGGCUGCAGUCGAGAAUCUUUCGCAAUGCCCGAAAGGGUGACGAAGCGACGCCGCGUGAGUGAGGAAGACCUUAGGGUUGUAAAGCUCUGUCAGGAGCUAAGAAAUAUAAGUGUGUUAAUACCACAUUUAUUUGACGAAGGCUCCAAAGGAAGCCACGGCUAACUCUGUGCCAGCAGCCGCGGUAAUACAGAGGUGGCAAGCGUUGUUCGGAAUUAUUGGGCGUAAAGAGCACGUAGGUGGGUUUGUAAGUCAGAUGUGAAAGCCUUCUGUUCAACGGAAGAAUUGCAUCUGAAACUGCAAAUCUUGAGUGUAGGAGGGGAGAAUGGAACUUCUGGUGGAGCGGUGAAAUGCGUAGAUAUCAGAAGGAACGCCGGCGGCGAAAGCGAUUCUCUGGCCUAUUACUGACACUCAGUGUGCGAAAGCUAGGGGAGCAAACGGGAUUAGAUACCCCGGUAGUCCUAGCCGUAAACGAUGGGCACUAAGUAGAGGGGAUUACCGAUGUUCUCUCUGCCGUAGCUAACGCAUUAAGUGCCCCGCCUGGGGAGUACGGCCGCAAGGCUAAAACUCAAAAGAAUUGACGGGGGCUCGCACAAGCGGUGGAGCAUGUGGCUUAAUUCGAUGCAACGCGAAAAACCUUACCGGGGCUUGACAUGGUAGAAGUAGGAACCCGAAAGGGUAACGAACGGUAUCCAGUCCGUAGCUAUCACAGGUGUUGCAUGGCUGUCGUCAGCUCGUGUCGUGAGACGUUGGGUUAAGUCCCCUAACGAGCGAAACCCUUGUUUUUAGUUACCAGCGGGUUAUGCCGGGUACUCUAGAAAGACUGCCGUCGUCAAGACGGAGGAAGGUGGGGAUGACGUCAAGUCAUCAUGGCCCUUAUGCCCCGGGCUGCACACGUGCUACAAUGGUCGGUACAAACGGAAGCGAAGCCGAGAGGUGAAGCGAAUCCUAAAAAGCCGAUCUCAGUUCGGAUUGGAGGCUGAAAUUCGCCUCCAUGAAGUUGGAAUCGCUAGUAAUCGCGGAUCAGCAAUGCCGCGGUGAAUAUGUUCCCGAGCCUUGUACACACCGCCCGU